ensembl:snRNA U6 U6 spliceosomal RNA
GUGCUGGCUUUGGAAGCACAUGUACUAAAUUGGAAUGACACAGAGAAGAUCAGCAUGGUCCCCAUGCAAAGACUAUUUGCAAAUUUGUGAAUGUUUCAUAUUUUA